CCUACGUGAGGCAGCAGUGAGGAAUAUUGGUCAAUGGGCGCGCGCCUGAACCGGCCAAGUAGCGUGAAGGAUGACUGCCCUACGGGUUGUAAACUUCUUUUAUAAAGGAAUAAAGUGAGGCACGUGUGCCUUUUUGUAUGUACUUUAUGAAUAAGGAUCGGCUAACUCCGUGCCAGCAGCCGCGGUAAUACGGAGGAUCCGAGCGUUAGCCGGAUUUAUUGGGUUUAAAGGGAGCGUAGAUGGGUGGUUAAAUCAGUUGUGAAAGUUUGCGGCGCAACCGUAAAAUUGCAAUUGAUACUGGCAGUCUUGAGUACAGUUGAGGUAGGCGGAAUUCGUGGUGUAGCGGUGAAAUGCUUAGAUAUCACGAAGAACUCCGAUUGCGAAGGCAGCUUACUAAACUGCCACUGACAUUGAUGCUCGAAAGUGUGGGUAUCAAACAGGAUUAGAUACCCGAGUAGUC
rnacentral:rRNA from 1 species